rnacentral:rRNA from 1 species
GGUGAACGCUGGCGGUAGGCCUAACACAUGCAAGUCGAGCGGCAGCACAGUAAGAGCUUGCUCUUACGGGUGGCGAGUGGCGGACGGGUGAGGAAUACAUCGGAAUCUACUUUUUCGUGGGGGAUAACGUAGGGAAACUUACGCUAAUACCGCAUACGACCUACGGGUGAAAGCAGGGGAUCUUCGGACCUUGCGCGAUUGAAUGAGCCGAUGUCGGAUUAGCUAGUUGGCGGGGUAAAGGCCCACCAAGGCGACGAUCCGUAGCUGGUCUGAGAGGAUGAUCAGCCACACUGGAACUGAGACACGGUCCAGACUCCUACGGGAGGCAGCAGUGGGGAAUAUUGGACAAUGGGCGCAAGCCUGAUCCAGCCAUACCGCGUGGGUGAAGAAGGCCUUCGGGUUGUAAAGCCCUUUUGUUGGGAAAGAAAAGCAGCAGGUUAAUACCCCGCUGUUCUGACGGUACCCAAAGAAUAAGCACCGGCUAACUUCGUG